CGGGAGGUUGGCGAAGGACGUACCGCUCGCCAACCGGGUCAGGUCCGGAAGGAAGCAGCCCUAACGAGCCAGGGCGGGUCUUUGUCCAACCUCCUACCG
rnacentral:SRP_RNA from 1 species